rnacentral:rRNA from 1 species
AGCAGCCGCGGUAAUUCCAGCUCCAAUAGCGUAUAUUAAAGUUGCUGCAGUUAAAAAGCUCGUAGUUGAAUUUCGGGACCAUCAUGUUGGUCGUGCCUAGGUACGUACUGGCAUUGUCGGUUUCUCCCUUCUGACGAACCAUGAUGUCAUUUAUUUGGUGUUGUGGGGAAUCAGGACUGUUACUUUGAAAAAUUGAGUGUUUAAAGCAGGCUUUAGCUUGAAUACAUUAGCAUGGAAUAAUGAAGUAGGACGUUCGAACCUAUUUUGUUGGUUUCUAGGAUCAACGUAAUGAUUAAUAGGGAUAGUUGGGGGCAUUAGUAUUCAAUUGUCAGAGGUGAAAUUCUUGGAUUUAUUGAAGACUAACUACUGCGAAAGCAAUUUGCCAAGGAUGUUUUCAUUAAUCAAGAACGAAAGUUAGGGGAUCGAAGACGAUC